ACCUACGGGGUGCAGCAGUAGGGAAUUUUCGUCAAUGGGCGCAAGCCUGAACGAGCAAUGCCGCGUGAACGAGGAAGGUCUUCGGAUCGUAAAGCUCUGUUGAAGGGGAAAAAGAGCGGAGAGAGGAAAUGGUCUCCGAUUGAUAUUACCCUUCGAGGAAGUCACGGCUAACUACGUGCCAGCAGCCGCGGUAAUACGUAGGUGGCGAGCGUUAUCCGGAAUGAUUGGGCGUAAAGGGUGCGUAGGCGGCCUGCUAAGUCUGGAGUGAAAGGUACCGGCUCAACCGGUACAGGCUCUGGAAACUG
rnacentral:rRNA from 1 species